AAUAAGUGUGGUUUUACACUGUUAAUGUCCAAUGUUUGGUCAUUCGUUUUAUUUAAAAAAUUUUAUGAUUAGUAUUUUUAUUGUUUUAGAUAAUAAAACAUGAAUAAUACUCUAUGUGUGACUAUCUUUUUAAAAAAAAAUUUAUAUUUUUUUUAAAUAAGACGGACGGUUGUAGAUAUGGAUAUCCACGGCUAAGCUUAUU
rnacentral:pre_miRNA from 1 species